AUUGAACGCUGGCGGCAUGCCUUACACAUGCAAGUCGAACGGUAACAGGCCGCAAGGUGCUGACGAGUGGCGAACGGGUGAGUAAUGCAUCGGAACGUGCCCAGUAGUGGGGGAUAGCCCGGCGAAAGCCGGAUUAAUACCGCAUACGACCUGAGGGUGAAAGGGGGGGAGCGCAAGACCUCUCGCUAUUGGAGCGGCCGAUGUCGGAUUAGCUAGUUGGUGGGGUAAAGGCCUACCAAGGCAACGAUCUGUAGUUGGUCUGAGAGGACGACCAGCCACACUGGGACUGAGACACGGCCCAGACUCCUACGGGAGGCAGCAGUGGGGAAUUUUGGACAAUGGGCGCAAGCCUGAUCCAGCAAUGCCGCGUGCAGGAAGAAGGCCUUCGGGUUGUAAACUGCUUUUGUCAGGGAAGAAAUCUUCUGGGUUAAUACCUCGGGAGGAUGACGGUACCUGAAGAAUAAGCACCGGCUAACUACGUGCCAGCAGCCGCAGUAAAAC
rnacentral:rRNA from 1 species